UAUAAAUUAGGGCCCAAAAGGCCAUGUGGACUGUGGGCAGGGCCUUUUUUUUAUUUAUAGAAAAGUCACAGCGCUGGGCUGUUCUUAAGACCCAAGCUGUGCAGGCGCUGGGCUCUGACUAGCCCUUCUGCUUCCCAUUCCCCGCCCAGACGUUGCUGCUGCCUCUCUCUGCAAUACGAGAGAGAAGUCGAGAGGGGCCCUUAGUUUAGGGAAGAAGUUAGGGGAAGAAUACCUGGCCUCAUGACUUGUGCCCUACAAGGGUAGAGAGUCCCAGCAGAUAAGGUCUAAGGUUGUGAGCUACUGUCUGUAUGGGGACUUGCUCCUCAGCCCUGGUGGCUCCUAGGUGCUGGGUAAGGAGGAGACCCAGGCCUCUUUUCUGAGACCAGAGCUUAGCCUUUGCUCCUAAAACUGGAGGGUGGGGACAGUUUCAAAAUGACAGGUUUUGAGGUCUCAGCCCACUCAGGAGAGGCAACCCUGGAGGGAAGAGAAUGAACAUGCGUGCCCAAGCCCUGGACUCUGUACCCUGCACCCUAGCUCUCCUCCCUCCAGGUGGGGAUGAGGAUACAUCAAGCAAUGGUCCCACCCCAGCCAGGCUUUCUAGAAAACACUGCAGUCCCAAAUUGGAGCUCAACUCCAGCUCAGGGGAAGGGUUAAAGGGUCAGCUGGGAAGAAGCCCCUUGUUUGGGUGCUCUGAGUCUGUGGACACCCUCAAAACCUUGUUUGCUCUCCCAAACAAUGGUACCCACUGUGAAGGAAGGAGGCAAACAGGAUUGCCGCCCUGGAGUCCAGCUUCUAAAGAUGCUUAAUAGAGAGGUUGCUUGAGUGUGGGGUGGGGGGGGGUGUCACUUUGUCCUGAGAGCAAACUGCUCCCCACCCCACCCCUAAUCCUAAAGAGAAAGAAGGAAAACCUUGCCUUCCCUCGCAGGCUCCAGCCAUUCCCAGCACCGGAGCCGCGCCUGAACACAGCUAAGGCCAGUAACUGGUGGCUCGGAGAAGGGCAGGCAGGGGAAAGCUGCAACCUUUGGCCACACUGGGGCCCAGAGCAGCCAGGAGCGAGGCCGAAGUGGGGAGAACAGAGGCCGACCCUGGCCAGGACCAGCCCAGCCGCACAGUUCCUGGGAGGGGGUGGCCAAGAGACGCCAGGGAUGGAAGACAGUCAGGCUCCAGGCUCCGAGUGGUUGGGCAGGUUUGUGAGAGGCCCAGAGAGAAGAAAGGAGCCCUCGUGGAUGGGGACCCCAGGCCUGGGCAGGGUCUCACGGAUACACCUGCCUGGUCACCGCCUCUCCACCACCGUCUCUGCAGCUGGAGGUCUCCCCGGAUAAGAUUGCUCACCUUCAGAUGGUUAUCAAGGUGUGUCUACACUCCCCAUCGGGCUAGUGCCUCUAUUCUGGGGUCAUUCAGGGUAGCUCUGAGAGCCCUGAGCCAAACCCCUGAUUUGAUACUUGAGUAUAGACAGGAGAGUGGAGGUGAGUGCUGAGAACGUGACUGCUGGAGACACAGACAGAAAAGCAGAGUGUGAGAAAGUACCAGAAAGACUAGGGAGCAAACAGAAGAACACGGCAGGCAAGAACAGCGGGUUGACCUAAACAGUCGCUGUGUAGUUGCCCUGCCAGAAACGUCCUGGGGUGGGGUGGGGGCACUGGCUCCGCAGGGGCUGAGCCGUCCCAGAUAGGACCAUCCAUUCCGAAUUCGCAAACGAAGCCGAGAGGCUGAGGACUCAGAUGGGGACAGAGAACAAGUUUGCAUCCUCCUUCCUGACCUUCAGCCUGGGCCCUUCGCUCCCCGCCCCCACCGACGGAUGCCCCUCCUGCCCCCUGCAGACCCCCGCGCCGUCGCAGGUGCCCACG